ACUGGGGCGGUCUCCUCCCAAAGCGUAACGGAGGAGCACGAAGGUUAGCUAAUCCUGGUCGGACAUCAGGAGGUUAGUGCAAUGGCAUAAGCUAGCUUGACUGCGAGCGUGACGGCGCGAGCAGGUGCGAAAGCAGGUCAUAGUGAUCCGGUGGUUCUGAAUGGAAGGGCCAUCGCUCAACGGAUAAAAGGUACUCCGGGGAUAACAGGCUGAUACCGCCCAAGAGUUCAUAUCGACGGCGGUGUUUGGCACCUCGAUGUCGGCUCAUCACAUCCUGGGGCUGAAGUAGGUCCCAAGGGUAUGGCUGUUCGCCAUUUAAAGUGGUACGCGAGCUGGGUUUAGAACGUCGUGAGACAGUUCGGUCCCUAUCUGCCGUGGGCGCUGGAGAAUUGAGGGGGGCUGCUCCUAGUACGAGAGGACCGGAGUGGACGCAUCACUGGUGUUCGGGUUGUCAUGCCAAUGGCACUGCCCGGUAGCUAAAUGCGGAAGAGAUAAGUGCUGAAAGCAUCUAAGCACGAAACUUGCCCCGAGAUGAGUUCUCCCUGAGACUU
rnacentral:rRNA from 1 species